rnacentral:tRNA from 1 species
GGAUUGUGGCUCAGAGGUAGAGCACUUGCCUAGCAUGCAUGAGGUACUGGAUUCGAUCCUCAGCACCA